GUGAAUCAUCAAAUUUUUGAACGCACAUUGCACUCUCCUCGGAGAGUAUGCCUGUUUGAGGGUCAGCCUAUAAAAAUUGACCUCGUUGCUGUUUCGCGGUGGCGUUCGUCGGUAAUUGGGUCAUCAUAAAUCCUGUUGGUUUUUAUGCGACUUAAAAUUUUCUUUUUGAUUUCAUGAACGUUCCUACGAUUUAUUUCUUUACACGUUUAAGGUAUCGCUUUUUAUUAGACGUGACCAUCAUAUGGGAUCGCGUUCAUAAUCUUUAAUUAUCUGACCUCAG
rnacentral:misc_RNA from 1 species